AUCAUUUCUUGUGGUCGACCUGUAGGUUAAUCAUUAAAAUUCAAACAAAGGUUUGAACUUUUUGGAGAGUGUUUAAACGAGAAAAAUGUGAGAAAAUGUUAUUGCCUAUCUGAGAAAAGUGUAUGGUGAGGGGUUUUACAGCCUUAUUGCGGGCUAUUUAGGGACCCUAUCCUCGAGGUAACACUGUAUUUUGCAAUUGUCCUCUUAUAGUCACUUUUAAAAGUCCUGUAUCUUUAAAUAAGAAGUGGCUCUUGUUGAAUAAUGGGUAGUGCAACUCAAGUAACAACAAGGGUGUGGCUUUAUACGGCAUACAAAGCCCUUCCAGUAAAUCGAAAGUUACAAAACAUUCAGCUGUUGGAGAGAACCAAAAUACACCAAAAUGACCAUCCAUAUAAAUUAUGCAGCCAUUUUUUGGGCAAAGUUCGGCAUUAAGUUAGUCGUUGAAGGUGUGGUGAUAUCUGUUCCGUCUGUUGCUAUUAUAGCUACCGCAGCUACUGCAGCAGUGGUCUUGGGAACAUAUUUGUAUCAUCAAAGAAGAACAUAAUACGACUAAGUGGCAGAGAUAACCACUGAGAUCAAAUCAAAGAAGAUGGAAGAAUUUGGACAACUGACCGGAUGUAUGGUGGAUAUGCGGCGACUGCAAUGGUUACAUUUUUUCAAACAUCCUUAAAAAUGAUAGUAUAUCAAAUAUAUCACAUGUAUACAUUUGCACAAUUCAACAUGCUCGAAAAGGAGUGGGAAGAAGCAUGUUUUUUUUUUUUUAUUUUAUUUUUCCUUUGGGGUUCGUUGGGAAUCCAUGUACUGACCAAACUGCCACGUGAAAAUAUUUGUGUCUUUUUAUUAUGUGUACUGUGAUUUGAAACACUACUCUGGAUGGACUUUAUUUGUGUGCAAAAGAGCGAGGACGAUAUUUUCUUGGUUUCUGUCAUAGGAUUGAACGCAACUGCUUCCCAUCAUCAUGCAGUCGGGCUUGUGUUUUAUGUGUUGUAUUUAAUGACAUUUUAUAUUGCACCUUGAGGAGAGACAUGUCUUUUCAAUGUUUAUUCACAAUUAAGGCCAUUCUUCCACUCCCAUAUGUGUAAGUGUGGACAUUACCCAUCGCAGAAACUGCCCACAUCACUUUUCUGUCACCGGAGUGCAGCUGUAUGGUGGGGGGAAAUCACAUUUAUCCUCUAAAUCAGGGGUCACCAACGUGGUGCCCGCGGGCACCAGAUAGCCCCCCACGACCACAUGAGGUGCCCGCCAGCCUGCUUUUCAUUCAGGUUUUCAGUUAAUAAUGAAAGAACAGUAGAAAGAAAUGCAUUCUGAAAUACAAAAUGUGAGUUGUGGACACCAGCAUUUUGUUAAUGUUCUGGUAAAACAAGCAUAUUGGCUUUGUUAGGGUUUAAAAUAAGCUCUGAAAAUAAAUGUUACAAAAACGAGUAGCUCUCACAAGGAAAAACGUUGGUGACCCCUGCUCUAAUUACGGUAGUGGAGAAACGCUUGUUAUAGUGAUAUGUAGUAUUCUGGUCACUAGGUGGCAGUAAUGACAAAACAUUGACGAGACAUUAGCACAUUAGAUUACCUUAACACAAGUCAUGAAGUGAGCCAUGGCUUGUCCGAUAUGACAGAGUGAAAAAAAGCUAUCUUCUCAUUCCAUGAGGAACCGGUUUCCAAAUGAGGGCGGGGCUUACCUUGGCCUUCGUAGCAGCAGAGGCCAGAGCGGCUGCUGCUGCCGUGGCAACGGUGCCUUCCACAAGAUCCAGCUCCAUAACUGCUCUUGCCUCAUCCCCUUCUGCCUCCUGUCCGUGCACGCCAUCAUCCUCGUUUGGUCUGCCUGCAAAACGAAGGUACAUUUUCUACUGCGAAUAAAAUAGAUGUUAUAAAUGAAAAACAACAGUUACUGCACCUAUAUGCAUACUGUCUCUUUCCUCUGCAUGUAUGUUCUCAGUGUUCUCUCGUUUAACUCU